UGUUUCGAGCUCAGUUCUACACAGCAUUUACACAAGGCUACAUCAGUUUUAUUUUCUCAUUUUUUUAUUUAUUUUAUUUUCGGAAAAUUUUCUCAAAAUUCAAAGUAUUUUUCGUUUUCGUUUUUUUCGUUUUAUUGUUGUUUUUUUUCAACUUAGUUUGUAAGCUAAAAGUGAAGUUGUCGAGGCAUACAAAAAAAAAAAAAAAAAAAAAAAAAAAAAAAUGAAGAUAUAUAUUUGUAUAUAUUUUCUGCAAUCAUUUGUUGGGCGGCAUGGCAUGCAACACAUACAUAAAUACAAAAGGACGUAUCACACGGAACAAACAGUCGUAUCACACGUAUGGGAAUCAAUCACAAAUUUCAAGAUGUACAAAUAGUUUUCGUAAAUUCCGGUAAAGACCACAUUUGGAAAUGCAAUUGUUCAGCAAUUGGUGUUAAAAUUAUCUGUUUAUCUUUGGAA